rnacentral:lncRNA from 1 species
UGUACUAUUGUUUGUCUGUUUGUUCUUUUCAUUCUUAGCUAUGGCGUUGUCAGUUUAUUUUCGAUUUAUGAGUUUGAAUGUCCUUCUGGUAUCUUUCGUCCCUCUUUUAUCGUCUUAUUUCUUCCGAUUACCAUUAAACCUACCGAAUGCAUCUAAUGAGUAUAUUUUUUUUUCAUAUUACCGACUUUUGACUCCGGGUUCUAUAUUUAUUUCAAAAGUUUAACCUACUAUGUGAGAAGACAUCUUGG